rnacentral:lncRNA from 1 species
GGAUCACACACACGUCUACACAGCCUCUCCAUCCGGAGUCUGGGAGGAAAAGCGCUUUGUUGGCCGAGAGCGCGCAGGGGCCUGGGCUCUCCUCUGGCUUCCCUCCUCUGGUCCACCGCUGGGUUGGAGAACCCCUUCUUCUGUUGGGAGGGAGGUGUGGACGCGCACGACUUGUGUAUGGACAAGUGCAAAGCUGGAGGAGUGAGGAAACUUUAAUCCUACGGAGGCCGGAGCUCGCAGGUCUGCUCUUCCGCCAAGGGAUGAGCCAGGAUUCCCUGCAGAAGGAGCUGAGCCCUCUCCGGCCGGAGACCACUCCGCUGGCGGAAGCUUGGUUCCCUAAUUCCUUUCACCAGGUGCAGCCCUGACUCUCUGAGCUCCACCCUCCCCUGCCCCAGUGUUUGCCCGCAGCCCCAACCGCAGGAAAUGCUCCCUUUCUCCAUGUGCCAGUGCUGAGGCUGGUGUGGGAGUAGAGGGCCUGUGUUUUCUGGAAGAGCCUUUCCUCAGCUCUGGUCACCUCCAGUCCCUGUGGAAUAAGCUGCUAUGUGGUUUAAAGAAAGGUGUCCACAUCCGCAGCCUCAGUGCUCUGCUAUUUCAAAUGGCCACCUCUUCAAAGCCAGUCCUCGGAUAGAAUCUGAGUCUGCAUGACUUGGGGCAUCAGCAUGGCCUUGGGGACACUGCUGUAACCUGAAUUCCAUGCGGGGAGCUGAUUUACUAGGGAUUCCGAUGGAUGAUCUCUGUUGGCUGGCACCCCAACUUUUCACUCAAGCACCACGAGACUGGAGGGUGAAGGUGACCAGGACUCAGAGCUGGAGGCUUCUGUACAGAACCUGCAUGACAACCCUUCAAGCUAUGGAGUCCUGACUAUGUUCUGGACACUCUUAGAAAAGCAUGAAGGAGGCUGCCCGUGAGUGGGUGAGGGCAGGCUUGUGGAAACACGCUGAAGGAAGAUUCAGCAGGGCCUGUCUGUGCAGGCAGAGCAGGCUCCCCAGGAAGGUCGGGAGGGCUGGCUGGACGCCUGGACCCACUGUACUCCUGACAAGCCUGACAAGAUGUGAGAUGCUCCGUCCAGGCCGCAAGGCUCACACAACUUCCAGCCUGUAGGGCAGAGAAGCUGCUGAUGCACCCAGCCUGGGGCAGAGACCCAGACCUUGCAGUCAGCUAGGCUGAGCUGUGGCCCAGGGACCGGGAAGGUGUGGCUUCCUGGCUGUCCCGGCCCGCCUGGCCCGCCCGUCCAUCCAGAGGUAGCUUCUAGCGCCCAGCUGGCGGUGAAUCCCACCAGCAUUUGCUGAUAAAUAUGAUUUAGGC